rnacentral:snRNA from 1 species
GUACUUUCCUGGCAGGGGAGAUAGCGUACCACCGUCAUGUGACUGCUUUUCUCAGGGCCAGGCUCAUCCACUGUAUUCCUCAUGUGCUAAUCCUAGGAUUUCCCCAAACUCGGGGACCUCAGCUGCUUCAUUCAUGGUGUGGGGCUAGUGGCUGUGGUAGGUACAGAUUAUAUUCAAGCUCUCCCUU